rnacentral:lncRNA from 1 species
GAUAGUCAUAAUUAUGGAAACAACGAUAAUAACAAGGAAAACCAUCCCGACAAAACCCAAAUCGAGGUGUCACAAGUCAUGAGCAAAUACGAAAUCUGAAACAAGUCCACUAAAUACAGAAUUCGAUACAAUAGAUUCCAAAAAUCAUGAAAGGACAAGAUUACGGAGGCACGGGGGCUGUGGACGCUAACAAGUACCUCGUAGUAUCCAAAUCACUGCAUGGACUGGAAUGAUCAGCGCUCAGGAGCGGACUUUACGAUGCCUGAAUCUACACACACGAUGCAGGGAAUAAUAUGAGUACUCCGACCCACUGAGUAAUAACUGGAAAUAAUUAUUGAAAGCAUGAAACACGAAAAGGCACAAAGCAAUACUACAUCAAGCAGUAAAACCAUUUAAAGCGGUGAAACCGUGAAGAAUCGUGUGAAAUAUCAUUUAAAAACAGGCAAAAUCAGAUAAUUUUACAUGUAAAUAACAACUAGAAACCCCCCGGCUCAGUAUCAAUCGCUCACAAUAGUAUCAGCCCUUUGGGCUCAGUAUCGAUCCCUCAGCUUAGUAUCAAUCCCUCGGGCGCACUCGUAGAGUCCGGAGGGGGCCCUUUACAGCCCAAGCUCUAUAUCAAGCCACCUCGUGGCCUUACAUCACUCGACCUCGGCCUCACAUCACUCAACAUAUCCUUACAUAUGGCCCUCAAACUCACUCAGCCCUGAAAUCAUUACAAGUUCCUCAUGCAUUAGUAAAGAAUAAUGCUCAACCCAAAAUAUCAUUAGAAAUAUCAUUUAAGUCUCAAAUUCGAGUAAAAGUGGUUGAGUUUGUAAAACAAUAUUAAUUAAUAGAAUUGAGUUCAAAUAUAAGUCAAAACAGUGAGGAAACAGUGAUAAAAACUCGCCGAAAGGUUCAAAUAAUUUGCACGAAGCCCAAAUAUAGAAUUCAGCCCAAAUCAUGAUGAUAGCAAAUAAAUCUAGUCAAAUACACGGUAAAAUCAUCAAUCGGGACGGACAAAGUCACAAUUCCCAGUAGAAAACGACCCCACGCUCAUCAUCAAGCGCGUGUCUCAUCUGAAUAUAAUACUACGGUGUGCAAUCCGGGGUUUCAAACCCUCAGGACAUCAUUUACAAUCACUACUCACCUCGAACCGGCCACAACUCUAUCUCGCGAUACCUUUGCCUCUCAAAUCGGUCUCCUCGUGUCGAAUUAGACCAAAAUCAGAAUGAAUACAUCACAAUAUGCCAAGGGAACAAAGCCCAAGCGAAAACAAUCGAAAAAUAUCAAAAAUCUCGAAACUAGCAAAGCUCGAGCCUCGGGCUCACUUCUCGAAAUUCAGAUAUUUUCACAUCAAUGGGUUCCUCAUCUCGCCAUGUUCAUACAUAUCAAAAACUCUCAAAUCCGGCCUCAAAUGGCCCUUCAAAUUCCAAUCUAAAAUCUAAAAACCCAAGCCUAGCUUUUCCAUUUUUAGCUAAAUUUCCAAGAAUUUCUAUGUUAAUUCCACAAUUAAAUGACGUUUUAGGUUCAUAGAACUUACCUCCAAUCAAUCCUCCUUGAAACCCCCUACAAUUUGUCUAGAAAAACUCUCAAAAUGUCAAACAAUGGAGGAAAAAAUGACACAGCUCACGGAAUAAAAAUGUUUAAAAUCCCUUCUGCCAAGCUGCCGAUUCCUUCUAUGCGAACACAGUCAAACCCCCGCAUUCGCAAUGAACAAAUAUUUCAUUGACCAGACUUCCCCUUCGCGAACGCGUCUGAACACCCGCGAACACGAUGCCCCAACAGCCUCAACUACGCGAAUGCGAGAUUUAUGCCUCGAACGCGAAGAACAAAUUAUGUUGGACCUCAUAUUCUCUUACGCGAAUGCGGACUACACCCCACGAAAGCGAAAGACAUGCAGCUCACUCUCCGUGAAUGCGAAUACCCAAGAACGAACGCCAAGACAAUCUACAGCCAUGCCAAAAUCCCUCUACGCAAAUAGGUUGCUUUCGUGAAGGCCGAUUAGGCCUGCACCUGCUGCUGCAUUUUCUGCAAUUUCUUCCAAGUUCAAACUUCCCGAUAGCCAUCCGAAACCACUCCGAGGCCACCGUGACCUCAACCAAAAACAUCAACGCAUCCUAAAACAUCAUUCAAGCUUGUUCCGAUCAUCAAAACACCUCAAAAAACACCAAAACCAUCAAAUUACAUCGAAUUCAAGCCUAGGUUCUUCUAAAACUUUCGAAACACGCAUUUGAUAAAAACCCAACUAAAUCACCUCCGAAUGAUCUGAAAUUUUACACGCACAUCACAAAUCACAUAUCGAAUCUACAGCAACUCUCAGAAUUCCAUUCCGACCCUCGGAUCAAAAUCUCACCUAUCAACUGGAAUUCACCAAAAUACUAACUUUGUCAAUUCAAGCCUAAUUAUACAUCGGACCUCCAAAACCACUUCCGAUCACACUCCUAAGUCAUAAAUCAUUAGUUUGGUUCACCGCUAUUACCAAAAAGUCUCAUGCUUACGUUAGUGUUAUUGAUGGUUUGAUUAUCUUGGACUACGAGGACCCCGGUCGAACCUAUCCGAAAAAUCAAAAAUCUCAUCUGAGCCCUCUAAUACAUAAUUCAACAUUUGGUUGACUUUUCCAAACCAAACCUAAGACUAAGUGUCUCAUUUCCUACCAAAAUCACUGCAAACCAACUAGACCACACAAGACAUGGAUAACGAAGCACAAAGAAGCAGAAAAUAGGGGAAACAAAGCGGUAACUCAUGAAACGACGGGUCGGGUCAUCACAUCCUCCCCAUGUUAAGCAAACGUUGUUCCUCGAAUGAGUCAAGAAACAUAUUUGAAGCCUCAAAUAGGUGAGGAUAUCUGCUGCGCACGUCCCGCUCGGUCUCCCAAGUAGCCUCUUCUACGAGCCGACCUCUUCACUGCACCUUCACUGAAGCUAUAUGCUUCGAUCUUAACUUUCUAACCUGACGACCCAAAAUAGCCACUGGCUCCAAAUCAUAGGUCAAAUGAUCAUCCAGCUGAACCGUGCUGAAGUUCAAAACAUGAGACGGGUCUCCAACAUACUUCUAGAGCAUAGAAACAUGAAAUACCGGAUGAACGUUCGACAAGCUGGGCAGCAAAGAAAACAUAUAAGCCACCUCCCCAAUCCUCCUAUGUACCUCAAAAGGCCAAUGAACCGCGGACUCAACUUCCCUUUCUUUCCAAACCUCAUAACACCCUUCAUGGGUGAAACCUUCAGCAAGACCUUCUCACUAACCAUAUAGGACACAUCUGGAACCUUCUGGUCCACAUAACUCUUCUGAUGAGACUGUGCUAUACGAAACCUCUCCUAAAUCACCUUCACCUUCUCAAAGGCAUCCUGCACAAAAUCUAUACCCAAUAGCCUAGCCUCGCUUGGCUCUAACCAACCAACUGGAGAUCUACACCGCCUCCCAUACAACACCUCAUAUAGAGCCAUCUAAAUGCUCGACUAAUAACUGUUGUUGUAGGAAAACUUUGCAAGCGGCAAGAACUCAUCCCAAUAACCUCUGAAAUAAAUAACACAUGCACACAUCAUGUCCUCCAAUAUUUGAAUAAUAGUCCGUCCAUCCAAGGAUGAAAUGAUGUGCUCAAUUCUACUUGAGUACCCAACUCUCUCUGCACGGCUCUCCAAAAUUGUAAAGUAAAUGGAGUACCUCUAUCCGAGAUGAUGGAAACUGGAACACCAUGCAACAGAACAAUAUCUCAGAUAUAUAUCCCCACCAAUCGCUCUAAAGAACAUGUAGUACACAAAAGAAUGAAGUGUGCGUACUUGAUCAGCCGAUCGGCAAUCACACAAAUAGCAUCAAAUUUCUUCAAAGUUUGAGAAAGUCCAAAAAGAAAUUCCAUAAUAAUCCUCUCCCACUUCCACUCAAGAAUAACCAUCUGCUGAAGCAAGCCACUUGGUCUCUGAUGCUCCUAUUUCACUUGAUGACAAUUGAAAAAUCGGGCCACAAAUCCCAAAAUAUCUUUCUUCAUUCUUCUCCACCGAUAGUGUUUCCACAAAUCCUGAUACAUAUUCGCGGCACCCAAAUGAAUACAAUACUGCAAGCUAUAUUCCUCUUCAAAAAUCAACUCUGUAAGACCAUCCACAUUGGGCACACAGAUCUAGCCAUGCAUCCUCAACACGCCAUCAUCAUCGAUGGUCACAUCUCUGGCAUCAUCAUGCUGAACUUUGUCCGUAAGGACAAGCAAAUGUGGGUUAUCAUAUUGACGCUUUCUGAUGCGAUCGUAUAAGGAAGGACGUGAAACCACGCAAGCCAACCCGGACUGGGCUUCGAAAUAUCUAAUCUCACCAACCGAUCGGCCAAGGCCUGAACAUGAACUACAAAGGGACUCUCCCCAACUGGAAUGAACUCCCCAUACUCAUUGUCUUCUGGCUCAAAGCAUCGUCCACCACAUUGGCCUUCCCCAACUGAAACUACGAAUCUCUGUGGCCGAGGACGGUCCAGGCCAACUCUACACCACCUCUAUCUUCUUUAGAUCAACCUGAGUACCCUCGCUGGACAUGUGUCCCAAGAAAACCACUGAACCGGGCCAAAACUCACACUUGGAGAACUUUGUAUAAAGCUUCUCUUCCCUCAAUCUGUGCAAUACAACUCGCAAAUGCUCCGCGUGCUUCUCCUGUCUAUGCGAGUAUACUAGAAUAUUAUCAAUGAAUACAAUAAUGAAUGAAUCCAGAUAAGCCCGAAAUACAUUAUUCAUCAAAUGCAUGAACGUUGCUGGGGCCUUGGUCAGCCCAAAAGACAUGACAAGAAACACAUUGUGACCAUAUCUAGUCCUGAAAGCAGUCUUGAGAAUAUCUCAAUCCAUGAUCUUCAACUGGUGAUAACCCGAACGGAGAUCAAUCUUGGAGAACACCUUCACUCCCUGAAGCUUGUCAAAUAAAUCAUCAAUGCAAGGCAAGGGAUGCUUUUUCUUCACUAUUACAUUGUUCAAUUUCCUGUAAUUAAUGCACAUUCUCAUUGUACCAUCUUUCUUAUUCACAAAUAGAAUAGGUGCUCCCACAGUGACACACUAGGUCAAAUUAACCCCUUUUCUAGGAGCUCCUGAAGCUGCUCCUUCAAGUCUUUCAACUCUGAUGCUGCCAUACAAUAUGACGGAAUAGAGAUAGGCUGAGUGUGCGGCACCAAGUCAAUACAAAAAUCAAUAUACCUAUCUAGUGGCAUGCCCGACAGGUCCAUAGAAACACAUCAGAAAAUCCCGCACAUCUGGAACAGAAUCAAUACUGGGAGUCUCAGCUCCAGCAUCCCUCACAAAUGCCAAAUAUGAAAGGCAACCCUUCCCAACCAUACAUUGGGCCUUUAAUAAAGAAAUAACUCUACUAGGAACAUAAUUAGUCACACCACUCCACUCGAUCCGCGGGACACCCGGCAUAACCAAAGUGAUUGUCUUAGCAUGUCAACCUAGAAUAGCAUGACACGGAGGUAGCCAAUCCAUGACCAAAAUAACGUCAAAGUCCACCAUGCUCAAUAACAAUAGAUCAAUUCAGGUCUCCAAACCACCAAUAGUCAUAACAUAUGACUGGUACACAUGGUCUACAACAAUAGUAUCACCCACUUGGGUAGAUACCUGAACAGGUAAAGCAAGACACCCUCGAGACGUACCCAAAUAAUGAGCAAAAUAUGAGGACACAUAAGAAUAGGUGGAACCGGGAUCAAAUAAUACAGAGGUAUCUUUGUGGCAGAUUGAAACAAUACUUGUAAUGACAACAUCUAAAGCAAUAACAUCCGUCCUGCCUGGAAUAGCAUAGAAAUGAGCCUGGGCACCGCCUGAUCAACCAUCCUAUCUAAGGCGACCCCUGGUUGCCUGACCAUCACCCCUAGCUAGAUGGGCGGGUGGUGAAGUAACUGGAGCAGAAGAUGAGGGCUGACCCCUCCACUAAGAUGAACUAGCAAUAGGACGGGGACAACGCCUCCACACAUGCCCAAACUGUCCACACUCAAAACAAUUCCCAUGUGCUGGAGGAUGGGAUUAAAGGGAACCCCUCGCAUCGGAGUGACUAGCUCACACACUCGGCAUGGAAGAACCCUGAACAGAUGGGGAACAAGAUGAACUCUGAGCUAAAGGGCGCUGAGUGAAGGCUUACCUGCUGAGAACCAUGCUAACCACGGCCUGAAGAUGCCCCAUAAUACUCUGGACGGGCCACUGAGCAGGCCUGAAAGAACGACCUCUACGAUGCUAGAACUGGCUUCUCGAAGGAACACCAUUGAAACUGACAGAACCUCGAGGACUCUUGGCCUCCCUCUCCUCCCUAUCCUAUCGGCGAGAAACCUCAAUCUCACGAGGGAUAUCAACCACCUCCUUAAAUAGACACCCAAUGCUCUCUCUAGUAAUCAAGAUACGGAGAUGGUAGUUAAGGCCAUAAACAAAUCUACUGAUCCUCUUAUGAUCGGUCGGAACCAUCCAAACGGCAUGACGAGCCAACUUAGAAUACCUCACCUCAUACUGAGACACAGUCAUAUCUCCUUGUUGUAGCCACUCAAACGGCCUACGCAGCUCCUCUCUGCGGGACUGCGAUACAUACCUCUCCAAGAAGAGAGUAGAAAACUCCUGCCAAGUAAGGGGCAUUGCACCAAAUGGCUUAUGAUGCUCAUACACCUCCCACCAAAUGCAGGCAGCCCCAUUAAACUGAAAGGUAGGAAAUACCACACCACUAGUCUCGAGAAUCCCUGCUGUACGGAGCAUCCGCUGACACUUGUCAAGAAAACCCUAUGCAUCCUCGCCCUAAGCACCACUGGAUGACGAAGGCUAGAGUCUACCAAACUUUCAAGACGGCGCUGCUUAUCAUCUGGCAUAACUGGUACUACAAACUCCUGAGCUGGUGCAACUGGCUAGGCUAGAGGUGCCUCCAGUGUUUGCAAUACAUGUAACCACCUUCUUAGGUGUGCGAGCAACGGGGGUCUAAUUUCCUCCCCCGGCCUGUGAAGUAGCCACUGCUGUGGUAGCUGAAACUGCCCCACCCAAGCCAGUGCAAUGACAUGGAGUAGAUGCCAUGACAUGGUAACAUACUGGUUGCUAAACAAACUAUCCAAAGACAUAAGAGACAAUGUCAUUUACUCUAAAUCUGCUAAAGAUCUCUGGACCAGCCUUGAACAUAGAUUUGGUCAGUCAAAUGGAGCUAAGCUCUAUCACUUGAGGAAGGAAUUAUCAUGUUUAGUACAGGAAAAUAAUGACAUAUCAAGCUACUUUACAAAACUCAAAUGUUUGUGGGAUGAUUUGAAUUCACUUAACUAUGAUAUGAAGUGCAAUUACUUGUGUGUACAUGAAGGGAAGCAAAAAUUGAAAAAAUUGCUAAAUGAUGAAAGACUUAUUCAGUUUCCUAUGGGUUUAAAUGAUAAUAUGUUCAAGCAAGGGGAAUCAUCCUGAUGAUAAAUCCCCUACCAAGCAUCAACCAUGCAUAUUCCCUGGUGUUGCAAGAUGAAAGCUAGAUAGGAUAUUUUUGCUCAUCCACUUAUUUCUCCAGAUUCUUUAUCUUUUAUAGUCACAAACCAAAACAAUUUUGUACAAAGGGGUUCAAGGCAGAUGCAAAGGAACCUUGUGCAAUAUCAAAAAUUUGGGAACAACAUCCAAAAGGGACUAAUUCUACUCAAAGGAACACAACUUUCAAGGGAAAAAAAAACUAAGUUUACCCCUAAUGUAACAUGCAGUCAUUGUAAUAAAGUAGGUCACACUUUUAGUGAUUUCUACAAAAUUAUAUGUUUCCCAGAAGACUUUGAAUUCACAAAGGGAAAUCAAGUUCAAACCAGAAGCAAUGAAGCAUUUCAAAAUGAGGAAACAGAUCAAAACAACAACAAUCAGAAUGAAGUACUCAAUCAGCACCUUUAAUCAAGUAGUUUAAGAGUGCAUAUUCAGAAAAUUCUAGAACAUAUAUCAAUGCUAAUAUUAUUGCUAAGUAUUAUUACUAGAUAUUCUGGAACUUGUCUGUUGGUUUUUAAUUCUAACACAUGGAUUAUUGAUUUUGGAGCAUCUGAAGACAUGUGUUUUGACUCAAAUGCCUUUAUUUCCUUGACAGUCCUUCCUGUUCCCUUAAACAUAAGUCUGCCUAAUUCUUUCAAGGUCACCAUCACUCACACAGGAAAAAUAUCUAUUCUACUUGAUUUCAUUUUUGAAAAUAUAUAACGUGUACCUAGUUUCAGAUACAAUCUAUUAUCCGUUAACAUGUUCUGUUUACAAUUUCAUUAUAUUCUCUUUCUUAACCUUUGAUAACUAUAUGUUACAAGGGCCUUUAAGGAAGAGGACACAUGUUUAUGGUAAGGCAAGAGAAGGAAUCUACCUUUUGGAACCAACUGGAGUUAGAAAUAGCACAAGUGUGGAACCAGUUUUAGACCAAAAUGUCUUUAGUAAAUUGUCAGUUUCAUUUCCUUUUUCUACAAGCUCAGGUUCAGAUGUAAGCCUUUGUCACAUUAAGUUAGUGCAUUUGUCCUUUUCAUCAAUAAAGCAUUUCAGUUUUAUUUCUUUGCCUUCUAACUCUUAUAGUUUCGGUAAAAUUUAUCCUAAAGAUAGGCAAACCGGAAUUCAUUUUCUUUUAAGUCAAAUUAAAUCAACAAGGGCAUUUGAGUUAAUAUAUGUAGAUAUUUGGGGCCCUACAAGGAGAGAACUUACACUGGUUUUAAAUUUUUCUUAAUAGUUGCAGAUGAUUAUAGCACGCCACUUUGUUCUUUCCUUAUGAGCACCAAAAACAUGUUUUUGGACUCCUUAAAAAUUUCUUCACAAUGGUGAAAAGACAGUUUGGUGUAAAUAUACAAAAGAUAAGAACAAAUAAUGCUAUUGAACUUGAAAAGGUUCUCAAGAGGCAGCAUUUUUAGUCUUUCAAGGAAUAGUACAUCAAAAAUCAUUUGUGGGAACCCCUCAUCAGAAUGGAGUGGUUGAGAGGAAGCACAUACUUCUCUAGGAAAUUACAGGGCUUUCUUGUUUCAGUCUAAGCUUCAUCUUCCUUAUCGGGAAAACUACUAACUGCAACCUAUUUGAUCAAUAGGUUACCCUUUAGAGUGCUUAAAUAAAUGACAUAUUAUUUUGUUCUAUUCAAUCAGAAACUCUCUUAUGAACUCUUGAAGUGUUUUGGUUGUCUUUGCUACGAAUCCACUUUGACUAGUGGAAGAGAUAUAUUUGACCUAAGGGAAAAACCCUAUGUGUUCUUAGGUUAUUCCUUGGGGAAGAAGGAUUAUAAAGGUCUAGAGUUGGAUAAAAGAAGAGUGAGUAUAUCCGGAGAUGUGUACUUCUAUGAAAAUCAGUACCCUUUUGCCUCUACUACUACACCUACAGAUUCUUUUUUCCCUGUUACCUCACCCCUAGAACAUAGUGUAGACUCAUCAUCAAAAAACAUAAAGAAUGAGCCUGCCAUUCCCAACUCACCUUCACCUUUACUGUCUAUUUUCUUAAACCCAAGCAACUCUAGCACUCUUCCUUCAACCUCAAGUACAAGUUAUACUUCCCAACCUAGAGCAUUUCCUCAUUCACCCUUACCUAUAUCUCUUCAUGAAGUUAGGUAAUCCACUAGAACACAUAACCCACCCUCAUAUCUCCAGGAUUAUGUAUGCAACUCAGUCUUUCUCACAGACCUCACAAAUUAUUGCUUCACUGUACAAAUUCAACCCAUUGUUUUCCACUUCACAGUUCUUUCUCCUAUCAAUUAGUCUAUGCUUAAUUCUACCUCCUACCUUGUUGAACCUACUUCUUACUCGCAGUCUACACCCAGGAUGACCAGAAGUAAUGGAAAAAGAAUUGGAAGCACUAGAACUGAACAAAACAUGGGAUGUUGAUCCUUUACCUAGUGGAAAGAAAGCUCUUCCUUGCAAGUGGGUCUACAAAGUGAAAUACAAGUCUGAUGGAUCUCUGGAAAGAUUUAAAGCUCGUUUGGUUAUCAGGGGAGACACUCAAAAAGAAGAGAUAGACUUUACUGAAAUUUUUUUGCCAAUUGUAAAAAUGACAAUAAUUAGAUGCUUACUUGCUAUUGCAACGAAAAAAAGGAUGGAAGAUAUCAAGACUGGAUGUGAACAAUGUCUUCCUGCACGGGGAUUUGCAGGAAGAAGUGUUUAUGAAACUCCCAACAGGGACAACACCACGUUCACCCAAUCAUGUCUUCCUUUUGAAAAAUUAAUAUAUCGACUGCAGCAAGCCUCAAGGUAAUGGUAUAAAGGCUCACUACAUUCCUAAAUUUUAAAGGUUCUUUAAAUUAUUAUUCUUUAUUUUUAAACGAUUACGUUGAUAAUAGCUUAAUCAUAGGGAAUGACUCGAUUGAGCAGGCAGACCCCAAAUCUUUCCUUCACUCCGAGUUUAAAAUUAAAGACCUAGUGGAUGCACAAUAUUUUUGAGAUUUGAGAUUAUAAGGGAACCACAUGGAAUAAUUUUGAUUCAAAGACGAUUUACCUUAGAUCUCUUGUCUGAAUUUGACUGCAUAAGUAUGCCACCCGUUUCUUCUCCCUUGGAUCCUAAAUCCGAAAUUACAAGCAGAAACAUGGACGCUGCUCCAAGAUCCUACUUAAUAUCAUUGGUUGUUAGGAAAGUUGAAUUUCCUGACGCACACCUGGAUGGACUUGUCCUUGCGGUGCAGCAUCUUAGCCAAUACAUGCAAACACCGCAUGUCAACCCCAUUUAGCUGUUGCAUUCCAUUGCCUUGGGUAUCUCUCAAGAUUAGGACUUUUUCUGAACUCAAAGCCUAAUUAUCAACUCCUUGCUUUCUAUGAUUCCAAUUAGGGAUCUUGUGCAUGUCCUCAAUCUCGCAAGUCCAUUAGCAGGUUCUUCAUCAGAUUUGGGGUUCACCGGUCUCCUAGAAAGCAAAGAAACAAACCUUAGUGGCAUUAUCCUCUACUGAAGCAGAGUAUAUGUCUAUGCGCAGAGUCACAGCAGAGGUUACCCAGCUAGUGCGCCGAUUGAAUGAUCUUUUGAUUUCCCGUUCAUUGUCAGUAGAUCUCUUCUUCGACAGUCAGGCUGCCAUUCACAUAGCGAAAAACCUAGUUAUUCACGAGCGUAACAAGCAUAUGGAGUUAGAUUAUCACUUUAUCAGGUAACAAUUUUUGGCCGGCAUCAUCUCUCUUUCUUACAUCCCUUAACGGUCUCAGGUGGCUGGCAUUUUUACUAAACCCUUAGCAGGACUAGCACACAACUCCAUUAUUGACAAGUUGGGUGUGGUUACCUUUCCCCCUCCAACUUGGGGGAGGUGUUGGAGCUUUUUGUUUUUUAUAAGACGCCAUAGUUGAGAAAGUUUUAGAUGAAGAGGAAGAGACAAGGAAAGAGGAACUACGGCUUUUGGUCUGAACGAAAUAAAGCUUGGUUGUAGUGACCAAAGCUUUU